rnacentral:rRNA from 1 species
AUGCUCCGCCUACACAAGUGCAUCGUCGCCCAGCUGCUCCCUCAUGCCUCCGCCAUCUCCCCGCUCCACCGCCUCCUCUCCGCAGCCGCGACGCCUGCCCGCCGCAUUUCUCCAAACCCUAGCUUCGUCGUCGACGACUACCUCGUCUCCGCCUGCGGCUUGACCCGAGCCCAGGCCCUCAAGGCCUCCCCCAAGCUCUCCCACCUCAAGUCCCCCGCCAAGCCCGACGCCGUCCUCGCCUUCCUCGCCGGCCUCGGCCUCUCCGCCGCCGACGUCGCCACCGCCGUCGCCAAGGACCCGCUGUUACUCCGCGCCAAAGUGGAGGGAACCCUGGCCCCCGUCGUCGACGGGCUCACCGGCCUCGGCCUCUCGCGCUCUGAGGUCGCGCGCAUCGCCGUGCUCGUCCCCGGCAAAUUCCGCUGCAGAUCCAUCGUCUCCGCUGUACACUACUACCUGAAUCUCUUCGGGUCCAUGGACAACUUGCUUCGGUUGCUCAAACGCGGCUUCUGGCUACAAGGUUCUGACGUCGAGAGGGUGGUCAAGCCCAACGUCGCGUUCCUCCAGGAGUGCGGGCUACAUGAUUGCGACAUUGCCAAGCUGUGCAUCCGUGUGCCAAUGAUCCUCACAAUCAACCAGCAGCGCCUCCGGGCAAUGGUGGCAUGCGCCAAAGCUCUCUGUGUGCCACAUGGCUCUGGGAUGUUACGAAAAGCGUUGCAGGCUGUCGGAUUCUGUGACGAGGAGAAGAUCACCGCCAAGGUGGAAUACCUGAAGAAGACAUUUAGGUGGUCGGAUACUGAGGUGGGCAUUGCUUUGCCCAAGAAUCCGAUGGUGCUGACCUAUUCCAAGGACAGGCUGCAGCGUGUCUCAGAGUUCCUCAUAUCCGAGGUGGGGUUGGAACCAGGGUACAUUGCUCAUCGGCCGGCGCUUCUCGCUUACAGCCUGGAUGGUCGGCUCAGGCCCCGGUACUAUGUUGUGAAGUUUCUCAAGGAAAACAGAUUGCUACAUGGCGACCGGGACUACUAUUCUGCAGUUGCGGUGACUCCGAAGGUAUUCAUGGAGAAGUUCAUAUGCCCACACAAGGAAGCUGCACCACACCUUGCUGAAGAUUAUGCAGCAGCAUGCAGAGGGGAGGUGCCGGCUAGAUUCAGAUUUACAUGA